rnacentral:tRNA from 1 species
GAAGGGUGUAAGUCUCAAUGGUAGAGCGGGGGCGAAAGCCGCCGUGUUGCAGGUUCGAUUCCUGCCACCCUUCA